AUUGAACGCUGGCGGCAGGCCUAACACAUGCAAGUCGAGCGGAGCGGCGGACGGGUGAGUAAUGCCUAGGAAUCUGCCUGGUAGUGGGGGAUAACGUCCGGAAACGGGCGCUAAUACCGCAUACUAUCAGAUGAGCCUAGGUCGGAUUAGCUAGUUGGUGGGGUAAAGGCCUACCAAGGCGACGAUCCGUAACUGGUCUGAGAGGAUGAUCAGUCAAACUGGAAUAGGGAAACGGUCCAGACUCCUACGGGAGGAAGCGGGGGGGAAUAUUGGACAAUGGGCGAAAGGCGGAUCGAGCCAUGCAGCGUGUGUGAAGAAGGUCUUCGGAUUGUAAAGCACUGAAAGUUGGGAGGCGUUACCAACAGAAUAAGCACCGGCUAACUUCGUGCCAGCCGCCGCGGUAAUUC
rnacentral:rRNA from 1 species